UAGGAUAAACUCUACAAUUAGCGAUGUGAUCAGUAGACAAAUUACCCCUUAUGGGGAACAGUGAUGUCCAAACUAUUGCAUACAAAGUAAUGGAAUGGUUUAUAUCCAAAAUUGCUAAAGUUACCUACAUAUGAGAAAUGAUUCAGAUAUGUAUUAGUUUAAUUAUGGUACCCAAGAGCUUGAAGCCCUUGAGUCUUCAGCAUACGAAUUGGGCUAGUUCUGGCAGAUGUAGGAAAUACAUGCUCCUCGGGAAAAUAUCCAAGGAAUCUUUUCUUUUUCAUGCGGAAAAUCUUAUGAUGGCCUAACUUGGUUUGAUUUAUUUUGUUUCCUUUCACUUGUUGGCUGCAGGGACAAGGUCUUUGAACAGCAAAAGAUUUUGUAUCCUUCCCUUGUUAUUAUAUAACACAGUUUUGGAAAUUUAGUUGGAUCAUUAUUUCAGUCGUUUGGAUUCUUUGAUGUAGUUACUUGCAGCUAUGUGGGUUAAAUUGUUUAAUUGUUUAUCUGAACUUUGAUGUUGGAAUGGGGUCUGUGCAGUUUUCUUAACUAC
rnacentral:lncRNA from 1 species